rnacentral:lncRNA from 1 species
GAAGCUUCUAGCCUCCAUAAAAUCUGAUCUUCCAAGAUGACUGAUUCAAUACAACUUUUCUCUGUUUCUGAUUGAAUUGCUCAGCCUGGCAUGACACUAACUUUGGCAAUAUGUUCUAAUCUCCCAUCUUCUUAUUCUCUGGCUAGUUCUAUCUUCUGUAGUGAGAAGUUUGGUUUCUUAAAAAAAAAAAAAGCACAGUUAUGUUAUGGGAUUAUAUUUUUGUUUUAAUCCUCCUCCUUCUCCUUCUUCUUCUCCUCCUCCUCCUCCUCCUGCACCUUCUCCUCUUCCUCUUCCUCUUCCUCUUCCUCCUCCUCCUCCUCCUCCUCUUCUUCCUCCUCCUUCUUCUCUAAGAGAACUGUAGAAUUUUUGCCCUUAAUCAAGGAUUUGAAUAUUAGAAAGUGUAGUGAUUCAUAACACAACCUCCUUCAGCUUACCUUCGGACUAUGAUAUGAAUGCAUGAAUCUCUAAUCUAUAGGAGACUGUUUUUUAUAGUAGACUAUUGUAUUUGUAUAUUAGAUUAAUGUAAAUCUCAUCAUUUGAUAGCUAUCAUUACAGGUUCAGAGGUUCAGUCCAUUAUCAUCAAGAUGGGAGCAUGGCAGCAUCCAGACAGGCAUGGUGCAGACAGAGCUGAGAGGUCUACGUCUUCAUCGAAAGGCUGCUACUGGAAGACUGACUUCCAGGCAACUAGGGUCUGGAUCUUAUGCCCACACCCACAGUGACACACCCAUUCCAACCAGGUCACACCUAUUCCAACAAGGCCACACCUCCAGAUGGUGCCACUCUCUGGUCCAAGGAUAUAAAACCAUCACACACAUUUUGGUCUUUAUGUGGCUUCAUGGCUAUGAUAUGUCAUUCUAUCACUCCACUGGGUGCAUUCUUCUCAAGCCAACACUUUUUAUUGUUCUAUUAACAAAGACCAACAGGAAUAAUUUUAUUUCAUAGGGUAGAUCCAGAAAUGUCUAUUUACUAUUGUUCUUUCUAACAGCAUCAUGUAUGUAAUUCUAUGUCACAUGUAGUAUCAUGACUUCUGUCAUGAGAUAGCACGUUCUCCCUGAACUCCAAUCAUUGAGUUAAUGAGCUUUGUGUCAUGGUAACAAAUAAUAGAAGAUUAAUUUCUAACAAGAAAAUAUUUAUUUUGGAUUGGAUAUAAGGGGCUACAGUUCAUAGUUCAUGGCUCCCUUGCUUUGGGGCCUUUUUAGGGGAAUCAUGUCAUGGUGGGAAGUCCAUGAGAGAACGAAAGCAUUCACCUCAUGACUAGAAUAUAAAAGAGAAAAAGGAAGGACUGGGGCUCUGCUAUCUCCUUCAAGCCUAUGUCCCCCAAUUCCAUGAAGUUAAAUAUUAGACUAUUCUAUGUUACUGAAUUAAUUGGGAAACGGAGAAAAUUGGGAAACUAUAGGUUUUGAAUUGAUCACAGAACCCCUAAAAUAGAAACACUUCUCUGUACUAUGUCUGUCAUGUAAGCGGCUCUGAUCAUUAUAUCCAGUACUGACUGAGGAGACUGAGGGAGACACUUUUGGAUGGCUCCCAUAAGCAAAUCACAUUGCAUACCAGCAGUGUUUUGAAUUCAAAUUUGCUAAUAAUCGCUGCAGAUAAUUGUUAUAAUUUUGAGAAAUUGCUGCUGGCUUGUUAUCAGGCCCUAAAAGAGAACCAUUGGCUGUGGAAGGGAGAAUUUUCCUGAGUUAAUGAGCAUCAUCUAUAUCAUCUAUAUAUUUGUGAAGACAGGCGUUGUUCUUUAUCAUAAUAUGGAAGAGGCAUACAGAGUACUGAACUGAGCUCUGUGCUACACAGGCAAUCCUGUUUUAUCUAAACUGAUCUGACUAUCACAUUGCUGAGUGGCCAACCUGACAACAGGAGAGGCCAACACAAAACACAUGCUGGAUUCCAAUCUUUCGAGGGGUCCCUCAGCUGUCUGAUGGCACAUUAACUUUAUUAUACAAUCUGCAUAGCCAGGGGCAACACCUUGUUACUAUUGAAAAAGCAACUUACUUUGGGGUAUGGAAAUUUCUAUCUCAGUUCUUAGAGCUUCUGCCUAAACCCCCAUCCACAGAUUUACUGAACACCGAUUAAUAUUAUGAAAUUCUAUUGUUAUGAAAUUCUAUUGUUCUAAUGAAGGGACCUAAUAUGCUGCAUAAAGUGCAACUGAGUCCAUUCUUAGAGAAUAAUUUAUUACUCUCAUCAAGUUCAUUUUCAGUGUGAAGCAGCUGAUCUGGAAGAAUGAUUUUCUGGCAACUCAAGGAUGUGCCAGCUAGCUGUGGGACUUACUAUUCCAUAUAUGAUAUUAUUAUAGACCAGAUUAUAGAUUUCACGUACGAUGCUUUUUAUCCCAUAACCAAAAUUCAUGAGCCUGAGAACCACAUAGAAGAGAGUGUUACAAUUAGAACUCUGAGCCCAAAGACUAGAGUUUCCUUCCUUUCCCAACACAUUAGAUUUUGCUAGUCUUAUGUUCGCUAAGACCAAAACAGUAGUCAGAGAAGAAAAUGCUGCAUAACAUU